CGUUAUCUUACGCGGAGGACAUU
rnacentral:rRNA from 1 species